rnacentral:rRNA from 1 species
AAAGCUCGUAGUUGGGAGUCAGGGUGAGCUCAGCUGGUCGGCCUAAUGGGUCAGAACUGGUUGACUCUCCCUUGGUUGUGGAUCCCUCCGGAGUUAAUUCUUCGGGUGUGGAGUCCACAUCGUUUACCUUGAAAAAAUUAGAGUGUUCAAAGCAGGCGUUUGCUUGAAUAUAUUAGCAUGGAAUAAUGGAAUAGGACGCUGGUUCUAUUUUGUUGGUUUUGAGAACCAGAGUAAUGAUUAAUAGGGACAGUUGGGGGCAUUCAUAUUUCAUUGUCAGAGGUGAAAUUCUUGGAUUUAUGAAAGAUGAACUUCUGCGAAAGCAUUUGCCAAGGAUGUUUUCAUUAAUCAAGAACGAAAGUUAGGGGAUCGAAGACGAUCAGAUACCGUCGUAGUCUGAACCAUAAACUAUGCCGACUAGGG